rnacentral:rRNA from 1 species
UCAAGAGUACGUGAAACUGCUUAGAGGUUAAGCCCGAUGAACCUGAAUAUCCAUUAUGGAAAAUUCAUCAUUAUGAUUUUAAUAUUAAUAAUAUUAUAAUAAUGGUGUGCAUUUUUUCCAUAAAGGACAUUGUAAUCUAUUAACAUAAAUAUAUUUAUCAUAAGAUCGUUUACAAAAGUUUAUUUGAAUUAUUUUGCUUGCAAUUUAACAGAGAAUAAAUGUAUUCGAUUUGAUAAAGUGUUGAUAGAUUUAUAUUAUAUAGUGCUUAAAUAUUUAUAUUUUAUAAUAGCAUAUUAAUCAUUGAUUUUUAUGUUUAUUAUAUGCACUUAUAUGAUUAACAAUGCGAAAGAUUCAGGAUACCUUCGGGACCCGUCUUGAAACACGGACCAAGGAGUCUAACAUAUUUGCAAGUUAUUGGGAAUAAAAACCUAAUAGCGAAAUUAACAUAACUUAAUAAUGGGAUUAGUUUUUAGCCUAUUUAUAGUCUAUUAAUUCAAUCCCGGGGCGUUCUAUACAGUUAUGUAUAAUAGUAUUUAUACUAUUUAUACCUCUAACUAGAGCGUACCUUGAGCAUAUAUGCUGUGACCCGAAA